rnacentral:rRNA from 1 species
GGUUGCGAUCAUACCAGCACUAAUGCACCGGAUCCUAUCAGAACUCCGCAGUUAAGCGUGCAUGGGCGAGAGUAGUACUAGGAUGGGUGACCCCCUGGGAAGUCCUCGUGUUGCAACCCC